UACGAAGGGGGCUAGCGUUGCUCGGAAUUACUGGGCGUAAAGGGAGCGUAGGCGGACAGUUUAGUCAGAGGUGAAAGCCCAGGGCUCAACCCUGGAAUUGCCUUUGAUACUGAUUGUCUUGAGUAUGGGAGAGGUGUGUGGAACUCCGAGUGUAGAGGUGAAAUUCGUAGAUAUUCGGAAGAACACCAGUGGCGAAGGCGACACACUGGCCCAUUACUGACGCUGAGGCUCGAAAGCGUGGGGAGCGAACAGG
rnacentral:rRNA from 1 species